AAGUGAAACAGGGCCUCGCGGCCCUGUCUGUCGUGUGUGGUUACACGGCACUGAUGAGCAACCGAUC
rnacentral:hammerhead_ribozyme from 1 species